rnacentral:rRNA from 1 species
UACGGUGGGGGCAAGCGUUGUUCGGAAUUACUGGGCGUAAAGGGCUCGUAGGCGGCCAACUAAGUCAGACGUGAAAUCCCCAGGCUCAACCUGGGAACUGCGUCUGAUACUGGAUGGCUUGAAUCCGGGAGAGGGAUGCAGAAUUCCAGGUGUAGCGGUGAAAUGCGUAGAUAUCUGGAGGAAUACCGGUGGCGAAGGCGGCAUCCUGGACCGGCAUUGACGCUGAGGAGCGAAAGCCAGGGGAGCAAACGGG